UGCCUAACACAUGCAAGUCGAACGAUGAAACCGCCCUCGGGCGGACAUGAAGUGGCGAACGGGUGAGUAACACGUGACCGACCUGCCCCCGCCCAGGGACAGCCCCCCGAAAGGGGGAUUAAUACCUGGUACUCCGGAAGCGGCGCAUGCCGCAUCCGGGAAAGCUCUUCGCGGCGGGGGAUGGGGUCGCGGCCCAUCAGGCAGACGGCGGGGUAGAGGCCCACCGUGCCGACGACGGGUAGCCGGGUUGAGAGACCGACCGGCCACAUUGGGACUGAGAUACGGCCCAGACUCC
rnacentral:rRNA from 1 species